GGGAACUGCCCUGGGCACUAGGGAACAUAGUCCCCGGCUCAUGCCAGGGACACUCCAGAAAGGCCUGGGAGGGUGCGCUGGUCAGGGUCCACGUGGCCUCUUUGUCUGCUGCCUGCUCUGGGGACCGGUGCCGGGCAGGCCUCCUGUUCUGCUGAAGUGGGCGUGAGCGUGGGGGAGGGGACCGUGGGGCUCUUUCCAUUUACAUUUUUCAAAUAGUUUCCUCUGUUCUCCAAGAGGCCUGUGCACUGGGAGGCGGCAUUUGACCUUUGGGUUGUUGGGGACCCAGCCAGAUGGGGGUGUUGAUGGCCGCCAGCAGCCGCUCCAGACAGGAAUGGAAGUCACAUUCCUACCUGCUUCAACCUCUGGCCUGGAGAGGACAGGAGGAGUGGCAGGGUGGGACCGCUGUGCCAGCCCUUGGUCAGAGCUGCGUGCCCCCUCCGCCCCAGCCCUGGCCGCUGGUGCCCCGCUCUGAAGACCUCCCAGUAAAGCAUGUUCGACUUGAGAGUUUGGUACAGAAGGUUCCAGACGUCCCCGGGGACCCAGGAACAGCACUGCCCAGCCGGAGCUGGUCCUGAAACCAGGGAGGAGCCCAGGAAAAGCCGUGGACCUGGACCAGGAGGAGCCGGGUGCCGGUUCCGGUUCUUCUGUGCAUCCCGUCCUUGCCACAGCCCUGCAGCAGGUGCACGGUCCCCGUUUUGCAGAUGAGGACACCCAGGCGCAAGGCAGGGCCUCAAACCAGAUGCCUGGCCCUGGGGCUGCCCUUCUCCCGCGGGCCACGUGGCCUGGGGAGCUGCUCACGGCAGGAAGCUGCCCAGGCAGCUCUGUGUGGGGGCUCAGGCCCCCUGGUAGGCGGGAGCGCUGCCCCCCGACCGUGCUCUUCACCCCUCUGCUCCCCCUUGCCCCACGUUUCCCCGUGUCCUGAUCACACCGUUGGUUCCGAGGCCACCCUGCCACAGCCCCGCAGGAGAAACGAAGGUGUUUUUCUUAUUUUGAGUCCUGAAGGCCAGGGCUUCAUGGGAGGAGGGACACAGCGGUCCCUUGCUGGUCUCCCACUUGGAAGUUCUGGAAUCUUGACUGCAGGGGCCUCUGGAGACAGACGGGACAGGGGUCUCCCUGGCCCUCUGAACAGAGUGGCCCUAGGAGAAUGGGAGUGGACAGAGGAGCCCGGAGAGGCUGAUGUGCCCUGAAGUCCGCAUGGUGGGUGGGCCCGGCCUCUGGGGACGGGACUGAGUCCCCGCUGGACCCCAGGCUCCCUGGGCCCCUCGCAGAGUCACUGGGGGAGCCUGUGUGCCACCCCUCCGCCCCAGGCAGGACAGGACAGUGGCCUCUUGCUCGCCUUGCUGGCUGCCCUGCCUCCUGGGCAUCAUGUGUGCUAGGAAGGACCUGGGGUUGGGGUGGCCCCAUAGCACAUCACAGAACAGCCUCCUGGUCAGCCAUGUUGCCAGGGCCCAGGCUACUGGCCACCCAGCCACCCAGCUGGGCACAGCCCAGGUCCCCAGGUGUCACUCCUGCACCUUGAUUCCCGCAUUGGUCAGCAGGGAGGGUACCCCGGCCCCUGCAGUGGGGGGUCUGUGCCCAGCACCGCCCAGGCCUUGCCCCCGGGGUUUCCUGCACGCCAGGCCCCACCCCCACCCCCGUGACCCUGUCCCCUCUUUCUGAGCCCAAGGUGAUUUUUCAGUUAACUGGACUGGCUGGAACCCGGACCCCCUGGAGUGUGGGAACCGUCCCAGGCCAGGGGCCUCCCUCCCCAACUCCUGGGACCUUGGCUUUGGGGGAGGGUCUGGCUUCACAUCAGGACACCAGGAUGUGACCCCGCGCCCUUCUGAAAAACCCCAGAUGGUGCCUUCGGGAGGCCCGGGAGGCCCAGGAGGCCUGAGGCCCUGCACAGCCUCUCCACGCCCACUCUGGCCCCGGGAGCAGGAACCUGCUCGUCGGUGACUUUGUGCUCGUUGGUGACUUUAUUGCUAAGUCAUCUGAGAGGCGGCGGCGGUUUUCCUGAGGGGAGCAUUUGAAGUGUCAGAGCGGGUUUUAAGUCAUCCUGGGGCAGCGGCUCAGCUGGGCUCCGGAGGAGGACGAGGACGUGACCUGCCAGGGUCAGAUGGCCACUGAAGGACAGCGCCAGGAUUUGGACUAUGUCGUUGGUUCCAGAAGCACCGCUCGCACCCGGCACUGUGCAGGGACACAGGAACGUGCAGCAGCGGGAGCCAUUGUCACCCAUUCCAGUCCACUGUCACAGGUCGGAGUGGACGGUGGGUCCUACAGCUCCGGCCUGUGUGCACGGCCCUGUUGGCCAAGGCGCUGAGAACCUGGAUCUGCUGGCCACAGGGGUCAGCAGGCGUGGGGACUCCAGCCCUGCGGCCCGCGUGUGAUGGCGGGGUUGGCCCCGGACACCCGCUUCUCUGGGUGGCUGUUCACACCUGUGGGACCUUCGGCCUGACUCACCCGGGUUGGCCCUGAGACCGACUUGGAGUUCUGAGCCUGAUCCUUGGCACUGACCCUUCCGGCCCCUGGAACCCGUGGCCCAGCUCAAGGGCGAGAGACCACAGGCCGCCUCCUGGGCCCAGUGUCCCUGGGAACUGUGGUGUCCCCUGGGAGCUGGGGUGGGUGCAGAAGGGGAUAGACCUGGGGUGUUGUGCUGCUGGCUCAGACUUGGGCGGGCAGGCAGACGUCCCUGCCGUCAUGGGCCUUGCUCAGGUGGCUCUCUGGUCUGGUGAGUCCCCGCUCAGUGCAUUGAAGGGCUUGUCAUCGACA